rnacentral:rRNA from 1 species
GAUGAACGCUGGCGGCGCGCCUAACACAUGCAAGUCGAACGAUUAAAGCACCUUCGGGUGUGUAUAAAGUGGCGAACGGCUGAGUAACACGUGGGCAACCUGCCCCUUUCAUUGGGAUAGCCACGGGAAACCGUGGAUAAUACCGAAUACUUCGAGACUUCCGCAUGGAAGACUCGAGAAAGCUCCGGCGGAGAGGGAUGGGCCCGCGGCCUGUUAGCUUGUUGGUGGGGUAACGGCCUACCAAGACAAUGAUGGGUAGCUGGGUUGAGAGACCGACCAGCCAGAUUGGGACUGAGACACGGCCCAGACUCCUACGGGAGGCAGCAGUGGGGAAUCUUGCACAAUGGGCGAAAGCCUGAUGCAGCGACGCCGCGUGCGGGAUGAAGGCCUUCGGGUUGUAAACCGCUUUCAGCAGGGACGAGGCGAAAGUGACGGUACCUGCAGAAGAAGCCCCGGCUAACUACGUG